UGGGUAUAAUACCCGAUAGAUCUCGACUGCUGGAAUGCAUCGAGAUCGAAAGCUCCGGCGCCUAAGGAUGGGUCUGCGGCCUAUCAGGUAGUAGUGGGUGUAGCGUACCUACUAGCCUACGACGGGUACGGGUUGUGAGAGCAAGAGCCCGGAGAUGGAUUCUGAGACACGAAUCCAGGCCCUACGGGGUGCAGCAGGCGCGAAAACUUUACAAUGCUGGAAACAGCGAUAAGGGGACCUCGAGUGCCAGGUUACAAAUCUGGCUGUCGUGAUGCCUAAAAAGCAUUGCAUAGCAAGGGCCGGGCAAGACCGGUGCCAGCCGCCGCGGUAACACCGGCGGCUCGAGUGGUAACCGUUAUUAUUGGGUCUAAAGGGUCUGUAGCCGGCCGGAUAAGUCUCUUGGGAAAUCCAGCAGCUCAACUGUUGGGCUUUCAGGAGAUACUGUCUGGCUCGAGGCCGGGAGAGGUGAGAGGUACUUCAGGGGUAGGGGUGAAAUCUUGUAAUCCUUGAAGGACCACCAGUGGCGAAGGCGUCUCACCAGAACGGACCUGACGGCAAGGGACGAAAGCUAGGGGCACGAACCGGAUUAGAUACCCGGGUAGUCCUAGCCGUAAACGAUACUCGCUAGGUGUCGGCCACGGUGCGACCGUUGUCGGUGCCGUAGGGAAGCCGUGAAGCGAGCCACCUGGGAAGUACGGCCGCAAGGCUG
rnacentral:rRNA from 1 species